rnacentral:rRNA from 1 species
GAUGAACGCUGGCGGCGUGCCUAAUACAUGCAAGUCGAGCGAACGGACGAGAAGCUUGCUUCUCUGAUGUUAGCGGCGGACGGGUGAGUAACACGUGGAUAACCUACCUAUAAGACUGGGAUAACUUCGGGAAACCGGAGCUAUACCGGAUAAUAUUUUGAACCGCAUGGUUCAAAAGUGAAAGACGGUCUUGCUGUCACUUAUAGAUGGAUCCGCGCUGCAUUAGCUAGUUGGUAAGGUAACGGCUUACCAAGGCAACGAUGCAUAGCCGACCUGAGAGGGUGAUCGGCCACACUGGAACUGAGACACGGUCCAGACUCCUACGGGAGGCAGCAGUAGGGAAUCUUCCGCAAUGGGCGAAAGCCUGACGGAGCAACGCCGCGUGGGUGAUGAAGGUCUUCGGAUCGUAAAACUCUGUUAUUAGGGAAGAACAUAUGUGUAAGUAACUGUGCACAUCUUGACGGUACCUAAUCAGAAAGCCACGGCUAACUACGUG